rnacentral:tRNA from 1 species
GCGCCCGUAGCUCAGCUGGAUAGAGUGACGCCCUCCGAAGGCGUAGGUCGGACGUUCGAAUCGUCUCGGGCGCGCCA